rnacentral:rRNA from 1 species
GACGAACGCUGGCGGCGUGCUUAACACAUGCAAGUCGAACGGAAAGGCCUCUUUCGGGGGGUACUCGAGUGGCGAACGGGUGAGUAACACGUGAGUAACCUGCCCUUGACUUUGGGAUAACUUCAGGAAACUGGGGCUAAUACCGGAUAGGAGCUCCUGCUGCAUGGUGGGGGUUGGAAAGUUUCGGCGGUUGGGGAUGGACUCGCGGCUUAUCAGCUUGUUGGUGGGGUAGUGGCUUACCAAGGCUUUGACGGGUAGCCGGCCUGAGAGGGUGGCCGGCCACAUUGGGACUGAGAUACGGCCCAGACUCCUACGGGAGGCAGCAGUGGGGAAUAUUGCACAAUGGGUGGAAGCCUGAUGCAGCAACGCCGUGUGCGGGAUGACGGCCUUCGGGUUGUAAACCGCUUUCGCUCAUGACGAAGCUUUGUGUGACGGUAGUGGGUAAAGAAGCACCGGCUAACUACGUG